rnacentral:lncRNA from 1 species
GUUCUUUGCUCUUCAGAAAAAAAAUGAGAGUUUUUCUCUCAAAAGCCCCUCUCCCCCGGUCCUAGCUCCGACCGAUAGUCACCGUGCCGGAUCCCGGUCGCCGGUGGCCGGCGAAGGUAAAAAGGGUGUUUUUUUAGAUCUCGCCCCCCUAAGCCCAAAUCUGGCCUUAAAAUGCCCAAAAAGCAAAAGAAAAAGGACCACCAGCCUUCUCAACGACCGAUUCUGUCACCGGAGGUGAAGCCUCCGACUACAAGGACACGGAACGACUCCGGUGAGUUCCUCUUCCCCUUUCUUUUUGUUUUAUUUUAGUAUAUAAAAACGAAAGCAAAAAAAGAAAAAAUAGCAGUGAACAAAUAUUAUGAAAACUCCAAAGUUUCUUUUCUUUUAUUUCUGAUUUUUUUGUAUCAUCCCCCCCCCCCCGAAGAAAGAGCUUUACAAUCGGUUUUUGCUUGGCUUUUAUAGCUAUUUUUGUUACAAUAUUUUUGCUUUUGUUGUUACUAUUUGCCGCUGUUUCGUUUCUGCUUUGCGUGUUUCCUCUAGUUUACAGGGUUGCUGGAGCAGGUGGGCAGAGGGCAGGUGCGGCGCUGGAUGUGACGGAGGCGCAGAAGACCGAGGGUCAGAAGACCCUAGGUGCGGCGCCUAGGGUUCUUUUGUUUUCUGCUAGGGCUUUUCAUAGUUUUGGGUUUUGGGCUAAGGUAUUGUAAUGGGUUUUGGGCUUAUUUGUUUUCUCUGGUGGGCCGGGCAAAUUUGGGCUUCUACAUAUAUAUUUUAAAAACGUAAUGUAUAAUACGAUAAUAACGAAAUAAUGGAAGAUAACUAUAUGAGUAAAAUAUUUAAAAGGUAAAUAACAAGUAAUGGAAUACAAUAAUAAUGAUGAUGUGAUUAUAAUAACACCAAAUAAUAACAAUAAUCAUAUUAACUAUUAUUCUAAUGCUAAAACAAUAGAAAUGAAUUAAACAUUAAUAAUGAUGAUAAUGAAAUGUGUAAGUAAAGAAGCAAACAACACUAUAAAUUCUAAUUACAAGAAAAAUAAAAAUAAAAUAAAAAAUAUACGAAUGAAUAUGCGAAUAAAUAAAUAAAACAAAAAAGAGUAAAUAAAUAAUAAAAGCUUGAAAUUAAACAACGAAGGAUUAAAUUGGGAUUAAAAUAAAAUUUAGAGUCAAAAUUAUGAUGAAAUAGGUGAAUAAACAUAAAAGGGACUAAAUCAGAGCUUGAAUGGGAUUUAAAGGUAUAAAUUACAAAUAAAAAAAGGGAAAAGGGGCAAACUAAAACGCGCUGAAAAAGGGUGAGGACUAGAUGGGAAAUUAUUCCUAGUCCUUUGGAGAGCACCGUUUCAAUUUGGACCGAAAUGAAGAAAAAUGAAAUUAUGCCGUAAAAUGUAAGAAAGAAAAAAAGUUUAGGACUAAAUUGCAAAGUCGCGUAAAAGAGGAAAGGCCAUAUGCGAAAUUACCCCUUCAACGCAGAAACACGAGGAUCCUGAGGGCCAACGGGUUGGUUUUCGAGUCUGAGGCCAAAACGAUGUCAUUUUGGCCUCUAGGCUCACUCCUCAAAACGGCGUCGUUUCAUGUCUUUACUUAAACUAAAUUUUUUUCUUAAAAUUUCAUUUUUUUCAGUGUUUAAAAAAAAACUUCAAAAACCUCCCAUCUCUCUCAAAAAACUCUCCCCCCAUUCGGCCGAUGGUCUCCCUCGACCUCCGUCGCGCCACCGCUGUGGCCAGCAGCCGGCACUAGAAAAAUGGGCCCCUUAGCCCUUAUUGUACGGCGUCCUUGAUCGCUAAGCUCUCUCAACCCGCGAGGAUAAAAAAAACAGGGGAGACUCUCGACGCCUUCGGACCCGAAUCGGGUGAUGAAGGAGAAGCCCUCUAACAGCGUGGCCACGAUCGUCUCCGGUGAGUCUCCUUUUCCCCCUUUUUUAUUUUUAUUACUUAGUAUGUAAAAAAUAACAAUAAAGUAAAAAAGGAUAAAUAACGAGAAUCGAACCAGAAAGCAAAAAGAAAAUCACCUC